CCACAAUAGUCACAAGAUUGCCCUGUCUGCACAGCGCUUGAUGGACACAGCAGGUAGUGGGUCUGCUAUCUUGGUGGGUGUAGCAGGAGGCAAGUCUAUUGUCUCGAGCUGGGCGGUCACAGGUGAGCGCAGCAAUCAGUUUCUAGCCUAAGGAAAGAUGCUUAAUCCUUAAGGAGACGCCAACGUUGGGAGGGGGAGGGAAGUUGCACCUUUAUCUCAAAGGCCUUUUGCUCUUGCCAUAGGGAAUCUCUAAAGCAGAUAUACAAUGCAUGCUCAAC
rnacentral:lncRNA from 1 species